CACACGCCGAGCCGUACACAUGCAAGUCGAGCGGUAACAGGGGUAGCUUGCUACCCGCUGACGAGCGGCGGACGGGUGAGUAACGCAUAGGAAUUUACCCGGUAGUGGGGGAUAACCUGGGGAAACCCAGGCUAAUACCGCAUACGUCCUACGGGAGAAAGGGGGCUUUGGCUCCCGCUAUCGGAUGAGCCUAUGCCGGAUUAGCUGGUUGGUGAGGUAAUGGCUCACCAAGGCGACGAUCCGUAGCUGGUCUGAGAGGAUGAUCAGCCACAUCGGGACUGAGACACGGCCCGAACUCCUACGGGAGGCAGCAGUGGGGAAUAUUGGACAAUGGGGGCAACCCUGAUCCAGCCAUGCUUUUGUGUGUGAAGAAGGCCCUCGGGUUGUAAAGCACUUUCAGCGAGGAAGAACGCCUGUCGGUUAAUACCCGGCAGGAAAGACAUCACUCGCAGAAGAAGCACCGGCUAACUCCGUGCCAGCAGCCGCGGUAAUACGGAGGGUGCAAGCGUUAAUCGGAAUUACUGGGCGUAAAGCGCGCGUAGGUGGCUUGAUAAGCCGGUUGUGAAAGCCCCGGGCUCAACCUGGGAACGGCAUCCGGAA
rnacentral:rRNA from 1 species